rnacentral:tRNA from 1 species
ACCUGGGUGGCUCAGUCGGUUAAGCAUCUGACUUCGGCUCAGGUCAUGAUCUCAUGAUUUGUGGGUUCGAGCCCCACGUCGGGCU